GGGGUGGAGCAAUUUGCCUCUAUAAGUACAACCAACAGAGCAGGGCCAGUAGUGGGAAACUUGAACCUCUGGAUGCUAAUUGCUCUCUCUCAGUGAUGACUCUCCUGCACAGUGUUCUCUCUCUGGUCCUCAGCUGGACAGGUCUCUGUUCAGUCCUGUACAUUUUCAGUACUGGACUGGUUGCUGUGGUUGCACUUUGGACUGUGAGGCUGCUGCUGCGUCACACCUGGUACUCUCACAGGUUGUCCUGUUUCAGCAAACCACAGACACGUUCGUGGCUGUUGGGCCAUCUUGGGAAGAUGCAGAGCACAGAAGAAGGCCUCCAGCAGGUGGAUGACCUGGUGCAGACAUACAAACACUCCUGCUGCUGGUUCCUCGGUCCUUUCUAUCACCUGGUCAGACUCUUUCAUCCUGACUAUGUCAAACCUCUGCUAAUGGCACCCGCCAGCAUCACAGUGAAAGAUGAAUUAAUUUAUCACCACCUGCGCCCAUGGCUGGGACACAGUCUGUUGAUCAGUAACGGAGAGGUGUGGUCCCGCAAGAGACGACUGCUCACUCCAGCUUUCCAUUUUGAUAUAUUGAAGAGCUACAUUGCCGUAUUUAACUCCUCAUCUAAAAUCAUGCAUGACAAGUGGUGCCGACUUGUAGCAGAAGGCAAAACUAAUCUGGAGAUGUUUGACCAUGUCAGUCUGAUGACUCUGGACAGUUUACUAAAAUGUGCCUUCAGCUAUGACAGCAACUGUCAGGAGUCUCCCAGUGAGUACGUGUCAGCCAUAGUGGAGCUCAGUGACCUGGCAACACGUCGGCGAGAAAAUAUUUUACACCACUGGGACUGGAUUUACUGGAAGACUCAGCAGGGGAAACGAUUCAAACAAGCCUUAAACACUGUACACAGGUUCACCAGGGAUGUGGUUCAGAAGCGUCGUACCUUCCUUAGCCAACAGAGGGAGACAGAAACACAAUUGGAUGUUGCCCUAACAGCUCGGAGGAGGAAAGAUUUUGUAGACAUUAUACUGCUGACAAAGGAUGAAGAUGGGAAAGGCCUGACAGAUGAGGAGAUACAGGCUGAGGCCAACACUUUCAUGUUUGCAGGUCACGACACAACAGCCAGUGCCAUCUGCUGGACGUUGUAUAAUUUAGCACGCCAUGAAGACUAUCAGGAAAAAUGCAGACAGGAAGUGAUGGACCUGAUGGAGGGACGAGAUGGACAAGAAAUUGAGUGGGAGGAUCUGUCCAACCUUCCCUUCACCACCAUGUGCAUCAAAGAGAGCCUCAGACUCCACUCUCCUGUGCCGGGUGUAACACGGAAGUACACCCAGGACAUGGUGCUGCCAGGAAAUCGCACAGUCCCAGCAGGUACAAUCUGCCUGGUCAGCAUUUAUGGAACACACCAUAACCCCACUGUCUGGACAAACCCACAUGAAUUUGAUCCCCUCCAUUUUGACCCGAGCAACAAAAAGAGCCAAGCUUCUCAUGCCUUCAUCCCCUUCUCCUCAGGGCCCAGGAACUGUAUUGGUCAGAAAUUUGCCAUGGCGGAGCUUCGAGUUGUUGUAGCGCUGACCCUGCUCAGGUUUCGACUCACCCCAGGGGUGAACCCUGAACUCGGGAGCAGCUCGGGGAGAGUUCGCCGUCUUCCCCAAAUCGUCCUGCGUGCAGAGGGCGGCCUGUGGCUGCAGCUGGAGCCUCUUAACAGAGUCACACAGAAGGAGCAGUCAGAUAAAUGAGUUACUAAAAUAAUAUUGUAACUGCAUUUAAGACUUAAGAAAAGAUCAGCCAGAUCUUAACAGUGUGCAGGUGCCGCUCCGUGAUUGGUGGAUCCAGGGGACGGACCAUAUGGAUCGGCUAACCAGCUGGAGACGACUUAUAUGCUGACCAGUCAUUCAUCCUCAGCUCAUCCCAACCAGCAGACCUUUUGUUACUUGCUCACUGCUGUUCGUCUUAUACAGAAGUAUGUGGGGUGGACUGCAUUUUUGUUUGAUUAUUGUUUUCUCAUGUUUUUCUUUGUUAGGGAGGCAGGUUGUUGUCAUUUGGUUUAAUUUUUUAGAGUAGGUAAGUUUGUUAAAUCCUUGAGAUUUGGGCUUUAGAUUGAGGCUCCUUUUUUGUUGUUGUUUUGGCGUUGGGUGCACCCUGAAGUUAUAAUCAGUUCCUUUCUUUGUGUCAAAUAAUCUUACAAAUCAACUCAUUGUAAAUAAAUCAUUAUCAAACUUUUCCAGUUGUGUGAUGUGGCUGCUUGGGGUCUGAUGAGGAUGGAUCACCCUUAUGUUGUGGUCUGGCCACCCCUAGACGGGCCAUAACAAGAGGGUUCACGACAGUCGCAUGAGUUUUAUUUUAAUAACAGAUGCAUCCACAGGUGUAUUCAUAUAUGAAUGACAAAGAUAUUCUUUAAUGUCUUCAAACUUAUUUUGCAUAUAGUACUGCUGUUACCUUGUUGCCCUCACAAGGUCUCCUGCUAGUUUCUUUUUAGUUUGUUUGUUUUUUUAUAAGGAGACUCAUCAUGUUGUUAAUUCUCAGAGUUCACACAGCAGCAUGUUCCCUGGUUAUGUUGGGUCGUUUUCUUGUAUUUAGGAUCUAACUGAUGUCUUUGCAGCAACCUGUCAACCCAUCCAAGUGCCACCCAGGCCCAAUGCUGCUUAGCUUCAGAGAGCAUGAG